AAAUUGUAUCCAGAGGGCCACACAAUUUUACAGAAAAAUAGCAGAUAAAACAGAUUGUGUAUCCCACUCUUCAAUUGACCUUUUCCUGAGAAACCUAGAGAAAAACUGUUCUGGAAUUUGUUCAAAAACAAAAUCAGAAAAGGCAGAUGGUUUUGUAAAAAUAAUUCUAAAAUAUGGUACCGAAGAUAUUGUACGGUUAGAAGAUAAGAAGAAUACUGAAUGUGGAUACAAUCGUACAAAUAUCAUUCUGCAGUGCACCAUUAAUAUUCAUACACAAAAGUCUUUUCAAAGCUGCAUUACAUUCCGAUGUAUUUAUGGAAAUAAUUUCGAUAAACAGAA